GACACGAUGGCCGAGUGGUUAAGGCGAUUGACUAGAAUUCUACAGCAGCGCGUUGUAAGAUUGGAAUCAAUUGGGAUUUUCCCGCGCAGGUUCAAAUCCUGCUCGUGUCG